rnacentral:rRNA from 1 species
AUACGAAUGGGGCAAGCGUUGUUCGGAAUCACUGGGCUUAAAGCGUGCGCAGGCGGCUAUGAAAGUCAGGAGUGAAAUCCCAGGGCUCAACCCUGGAAUUGCUUUUGAAACUCCAUAGCUAGAAUACUGGAGAGGUUAGCAGAAUUCCGAGUGUAGAGGUGAAAUUCGCAGAUAUUCGGAGGAAUACCAAUGGCGAAGGCAGCUAACUGGACAGUUAUUGACGCUCAGGCACGAAAGCGUGGGGAGC